rnacentral:snoRNA from 1 species
AUUUCAUGAUGAGGGCAUCUUUGUAAUAGUUCUUUAAACCUUUCUCACACCUCAUACAAGGACUCAUCAUCCAACUGUUAGAGGGUAGUAAUCUCAUUCCUCAACUU